CAACAGAACACGAGAGUAUGCUUCAAGAAUUGAACACCCAAUAUCCUUGCCAUAUUGGAUCUUUGUGACAUUGAGGAAUGUCUGAGGAAGGUUUGGGUAUUUAUUCUUGAGUUGCUGCAGAAGAGCUUCUGCUCUGCUCGAUAAUACCUCAAUCUUGUCCAGUUCAGAUAUUGGAUCUUUUUUGAAAGACCAAGAUGUUCGAGCUGGAGAUUUUCCACAGACAUGGUCAGCUACUUUCUCUUUCCAUGCAAGUAUUGCAGCCUCCAACCUGUUAACAGCUUCAAGGGCAUUGUGUUCAGAUCUUACAUUAAGG
rnacentral:misc_RNA from 1 species